AAAAGGCCACAAAGGGAAUCAGCCCCUGGCCACUCCUAGACCCAGAACAUCCGGAAAAGGUGUUCGCACCUUUUCUGUUGUCUGAAGAGCAACGUUGAAGACCUUCCUGUGCCUCCUGACAGGACGGCACAGGAACUGGAAGACCAGCGGGGAGAAUGGGAGACACAUCAUGUGUCUGAUGGCGGCACAUCUUCCUCUCCUGGGGUUGUGAUGGGUGGUCCUGCCACCACCCGGAGUCCCAGGAAGGAAGAUGUCAGGCCAGCUCUCAUUUCCCUGAG